rfam:Heterocephalus glaber contig124504, whole genome shotgun sequence.
AAAUUUAGUUUUCCUGGCAGACCCUGGCAAAGGGACAUCUUCCCAAGGCUGACGUGUGUGCUGGUCAUGCUGUGGUGGGUUUCCAACUCACCUCUCUCGGUAGAGGCUCCUGCAGCCUGGCAGGCUCAGGCCUCUGACAACUUAGUG